rnacentral:lncRNA from 1 species
CAGUGAAGACACUGGCUUAUAUCUCCUUUGCUGACAGAAUGUCUCUGAAGAAUGAAUUUAGAUGGCAGGCUGCCUAGAGCAUUGCAACAGCUCCUCUGAUGUAGCAUGAGGCCCCUGGCUGCUCAUUGUCAUGACAACUGGAAAAACAAGAGGCCUAGGCCACCACCUCAGGAGUUGUAAUGGAAGGAUGAUGCCACCAGUAAGGACAGCCUCAUGUGAAGCCAGAGGCUUUUGGAGACUCCUGAAGAUUGGAGGCAGCUGCAGAAGUGAAGUGACCCAGAGUGAGCAGUGCAAUGGACAGUGCUCCUGGGGUAGGACUACACAUCCCACUCCAAUAAUU